CCUACGGGAGGCAGCAGUGAGGAAUAUUGGUCAAUGGCCGCAGGGCUGAACCAGCCAAGUCGCGUGAGGGAUGAUGGUCCUAUGGAUUGUAAACCUCUUUUGUCAGGGAGCAAAGGGCGCCACGUGUGGCGCUUUGCGAGUACCUGAAGAUAAAGCAUCGGCUAACUCCGUCCAAGCAGCCGCGGUAAUACGGAGGAUGCGAGCGUUAUCCGGAUUUAUUGGGUUUAAAGGGUGCGCAGGCGGAAUGUCAAGUCAGCGGUAAAGUUUCGGGGCUCAACCCCGUCGUGCCGUUGAAACUGGCGUUCUUGAGUGAGCGAGAAGUAUGAGGAAUUCGUGGUGUAGCGGUGAAAUGCUUAGAUAUCACGAAGAACUCCGAUUGCGAAGGCAGCCUACUAAACUGCCACUGACAUUGAUGCUCGAAAGUGUGGGUAUCAAACAGGAUUAGAUACCCCUGUAGUC
rnacentral:rRNA from 1 species